CCACGGCCAGUCCGGUGCUGACCCUGCUGGGGAGGAGCCUGGCGUUGAGGAGGGCUGUGACCUUCCUCCUCCUCCGGGAGGUGGGCCCUACUUGUCGCUCUCACCAUAAACAUUUACCAACUCCAACUAGGUGCCGCGCCCUGCAAUCCCGCUCCUGGGUCAGGGUCCGGCUUUGCACAAGCACAUGCCACCUGCGAGCACACCUGCCUUAAGCGACGUGCCGGAGCCCCACGCAGAUCCAAGGUGUGGCCCGCCCCUCCCGCCGGGUCCGAAGUUUAUCAGCAGCCCUGGGAAGCGCCUCACGCGCCUUUUGCUCAUAGGGUAUCACUAAUAUGUAGUAGCCGUGGGUGUCCUGGAAGUCAUUAUGUAGAGGAGGCUGGCUUCAAACUCCCAGAGAUCUGCCUUCCUCUGCCUCCUGGGUGCUGGAAUAAAGGCGUGUGCUAUGGGACUGGAGACACGGCAUAGCACUGAAGCUCACUGGCUGCCCAUCCAGAGGACCAGGACGCAAUUCCCAGGUCCUACGUGGUGACUCACAAACAUCUGUGACUCCAGUCCCUUUUCUGGUUUCUGAAGGCAGGUGCAGAGACUUUUAUACAGGCAAAGACAUCAACGCACAUUAAAAAAAAAAGUUAAAAAAUUAAAACAAGCAAAACCCGAAACAAUCACGUGCCACCAAGGCCAGUGCUUUGUUUUGAUGGAGUUCGGAACAGGACUCCUUUCUGCUGGAGUGUGAUGGUUCGCGUUUGAGCUUCAGCAGGAGACAAAUUUCUGGGACUGUCUGAAAGGGAGCUUCUAGACUGGGUUCGGUGCGGUGGAAAGAGGAAGAUUUUCUCUGUGAGCGACGCCAUGGACCAGUACCUGGGCUGAAUGAGCAGGAAAAAGCCAAUUGAAGAGGCACACUCUUGUGAUGCUUCCUGACUGCAGGUGCCCUGGGACCAACUGAAGUCUUCCCUGCUGUGGUGUACAGUGCUCUAUCAGGUUUAUUUGAGGGUGGCACAUGAUCUACAGGAAGAGCGUGGAGGUCAGAGGACGACUUGUCACGAAGAUUGACCUCAGGUCGCCAAACUUCAGCAGCAAGCACCUCCAUCCGCUGAGCCACCCCACCAGCCUAAUAGUAAAUUUUAAACACAUAAAAUAAAUAAUCCAGGCAAAUUACAAACUUAAAUUCUUUGUUUUUUAACCGCUGGGGCUGGGGACUGGACCAAGUACUCUACAUGCUGGGCAAAUGUUCUUCCACUCAGCCACGCCCUCAGCGUGGGACCGGAGACUGGGGAAUCGAACCUAGGGACCCUGCGUGACAGUAGUGACGCAUCAAUGAUAUUCUGAGAUAUAAAGCAGUCUGAAAACAUCUGGGAUUUCCGUCGGCUACAAAGUCACAGGUGCCGUUAACGCUAUGUGGCCUGAUGCCCAAGUACAUAAGGGAAGGCUAAACUUGUCGCGGGUGAGUGAACAUAAAGAAUGCCAUUUUUUCCUAUCUAGGUUCACAAAUCCCCUGAAAUCCUUGGACCCAGUCAAAAUCCUCCGACUACAGCAUAGAGAACGCCAGCCUGAGCCUUAACCCCCAUACAUGGGCCCUGGGAAACGGGGACUGAAGCCAUUCCCCCUGUGGGAAGCCUGAGCUUAGAAAGGUUAAGGAAUCUGCCCAAAGUCGCCCAGGUUCUGCACACAGAGCUGGACCCUAGAGCCAGGCACUCCAUGGACUCAGAGCUAGAAUGCCCUGAUCACCGGGACCUGAGCCCUAUAGGGUUCAGCCAGUGAAACAGAGGGACAUGGCCCCUUGA